rnacentral:lncRNA from 1 species
AAUUUCCUUGUGUUGUGUGUAUUCAACUGACAGAGUUGAACUUUCAUUUAGAGAGAGCAGAUUUGAAACACUGUUUUUGUGGUAUUUGCAAGUGGAGAUUUCAAGCGCUUUGGGGCCAAAGGCAGAAAAGGAAAUAUCUUCGUAUAAAAACUAGACAGAAUCAUUCUCAGUAACUGCUCUGUGAUGUGUGCGUUCAACUCUCAGAGUUUAACUUUUCUUUUCAUUCAGCAGUUUGGAAACACUCUGUUUGUAAAGUCUGCACGUAGAUAUUUUGACCACUUAGAGGCCUUCUUUGGAAACGGUUUUUUCUCAUGUAAGGCUAGACAGAAGAAUUCCCAGUAACUUCCUUGUGUUGUGUGCAUUCAACUCACAGAGUUGAACGUUCCCUUAGACAGAGCAGAUUUGAAACACUCUAUUUGUGCAAUUUGCAAGUGUAGAUUUCAAGCGCUUUAAGGUCAAUGGCAGAAAAGGAAAUAUCUUCGUUUCAAAACUAGACAGAAUCAUUCCCACAAACUGCGUUGUGAUGUGUUUGUUCAACUCACAGAGUUUAACCUUUCUGUUCAUAGAGCAGUUAGGAAACGCUCUGUUUGUAAAGUCUGUAAGUGGAUAUUCUGACAUCUUGUGGCCUUCGUUGGAAACGGGAUUUCUUCAUAUUCUGCUAGACAGAAGAAUUCNN